rnacentral:rRNA from 1 species
AUUGAACGCUGGCGGCAUGCCUAACACAUGCAAGUCGAACGGAAAGAGGAAGAAUCUUGCUUCCUUGCUGACGAGUGGCGGGCGUGAGAGUAAUGUCUGGGAAACUGCCUGAUGGAGGGGGAUAACUACUGGAAACGGUAGCUAAUACCGCAUAACGUUGCACGAGCAAGAUGGGGGACCUUCUGGCCGCUUGCCAUCGGAUGUGCCCAGUUGGGAUUUGCUAGUAGGUGGGGUAACGGCUCACGUAGGCGGCGAUGCCUAGCUCGUCUGAGAGCAUGACCAGCCACACUGGAACGGAGACACGGUCCAGACUCCGACGAGAGGCAGCAGGCGGGAAGGUGGCGCAGUGGGCGCAAGCCUGAUGCAGCAAGGCCGAGUGGAUGAAGAAGGCCUUCGGGUUGUAAAGAACUUUGAGCGGGGGAGAAGGGAGGAAAGUAAAUACGAUGACUCAUUGACGGUACCUGCAGAAGAAGCACCGGCUAACUCCGUG